rnacentral:rRNA from 1 species
UACGGAGGGUGCAAACGUUGCUCGGAAUCAUUGGGCGUAAAGCGCACGUAGGCGGCCUGUUAAGUCGGGUGUGAAAGCCCUGGGCUCAACCCAGGAAGUGCACUCGAAACUUCUUUUCUUGAGUGCCGGAGAGGAAAGCGGAAUACCUGGUGUAGAGGUGAAAUUCGUAGAUAUCAGGUGGAACACCAGUGGCGAAGGCGGCUUUCUGGACGGUAACUGACGCUGAGACGCGAAAGCGUGGGGGAGCAAACAGG